UACGUAGGUGGCAAGCGUUGUCCGGAAUUAUUGGGCGUAAAGCGCGCGCAGGCGGAUCAGUCAGUCUGUCUUAAAAGUUCGGGGCUUAACCCCGUGAGGGGAUGGAAACUGCUGAUCUAGAGUAUCGGAGAGGAAAGUGGAAUUCCUAGUGUAGCGGUGAAAUGCGUAGAUAUUAGGAAGAACACCAGUGGCGAAGGCGACUUUCUGGACGAAAACUGACGCUGAGGCGCGAAAGCCAGGGGAGCGAACGGG
rnacentral:rRNA from 2 species